UACAGAGGGUGCAAGCGUUGUUCGGAAUUAUUGGGCGUAAAGGGAGUGUAGGCGGCUUGUUAAGUCUUCUGUGAAAUCUACGGGCUUAGCCUGUAACGUGCAGAGGAAACUGGCGAGCUUGAGUGUCGGAGAGGAUAGGGGAAUACCCGGUGUAGAGGUGAAAUUCGUAGAGAUCGGGUGGAACACCAGUGGCGAAGGCGCCUAUCUGGCUGACAACUGACGCUGAGACUCGAAAGCAUGGGGAGCAAACAGG
rnacentral:rRNA from 1 species